rnacentral:lncRNA from 1 species
CUGCUGCAGAUGCUUAAUGCCUUCGCUUCAAGAUUUGCCUAUCCAAGUAACACUUCAAAGCUCCCUAAAAAAAAAGUAACGCUUGAAAGCGCAACCAAAGAUGGAAGCAUAUAAACACCCGCGAUCCCACAACCAAAGAUAGAAGCAUAUCGUGUAAAAAAAGAAGAAGAUAGAAGCAUAGAUUUGCCAGUUUAAGCGAUCCAGUUCGCCGAAUCGAUCAGACCUACCAGGAGCAAAGCAACUAGCAAUGUCUCUAGACUGUAGAAACAGCAAGUAAUAUUUCCUUU